rnacentral:rRNA from 1 species
AGUAACACGUGGGAAAUCUGCCCUGCACUCUGGGACAAGCCUUGGAAACGAGGUCUAAUACCGGAUAUGACCUUCCUCUGCAUGGGGGUUGGUGGAAAGCUCCGGCGGUGCAGGAUGAUCCCGCGGCCUAUCAGCUUGUUGGUGGGGUAAUGGCCUACCAAGGCGACGACGGGUAGCCGGCCUGAGAGAGCGACCGGCCACACUGGGACUGAGACACGGCCCAG